CAACGGAUCGGAUCCGGCGGGCCGGCACCGCCAAAGGCCCGUUUUUUGCCCAAUUUUUGUCCGGUGCGGCGCCGAAGGCGCCCAUCCGGCGCCUUUGGCGCCAUUCAAAGGAUUCGGACGAGAAAAAAUACUGGAAACUGAAUCAUCUUAGUACCAAAAUAAAAAAUCAACCGAGAUCCCAAAAGUAGUGAGAACGAAAAUGGGAAAAUUUUAUCGAACAAAGAGGGUAAGGUAAAUCUUUUACAGUCCCGUAGAUAAAAAAAAGAUAGUUAGGGUCAUGGACGCCAAAAGCGUCGCGCUUUGUAGACGGGCGCCGAAGGGCGCCGGACGGCGCGUUGGCAUUGGGGCGCUGCAAUAAAAAGACAUAGUUGGGGCCCAGCCGGGCCCGUCUUUAGCACCCCACGGGGUCCCGCCCUCGCUUUCAAAAACGAGAAAUACCGAUAGUGAAACAGUACUGUGAAGGAAAGUUGAAAGAGAGUUGAAAUAGAACCGGAAAUCCUAAAUAAAAAGCAGUAGGCUUACAGUGCCUGCGUACCUUUUGCAUAAGUGGUUCGCAAGUUUUUAAUUUGGCAAACUUAAACCGUAAGGUAGAGGUGAUACGAAGGUGAAAUAGUCAAAUGAACCCGAAACCAAGUGAUCUACCCCUGAUCUGGCGCGGGCGUCGGGCCCAAAUGGGCCCCGUGCCGCGGCCGAACCGGUGGAUGUGGCAAAAUCCUCGGAUGAAUUGGGGAUAGUGGUGAUACGCCAAUCGCACUUGGAUAUAGCUGGUUUUCUGCGAAAACUAUCUAAGUAGUGCCGGCACUCUUUUUGCCGAGUCAGGCGUAGGACGAUAAGGCCCUAUGUCUAAUGGGAAACAACCCAAAUCAUUAGUUAAGGACAUAAAAGCGGGGCGGGAA
rnacentral:rRNA from 1 species